UUGCCAUCAGCCGCGGUAAUACGUAGGGGGCAAGCGUUGUCCGGAAUUAUUGGGCGUAAAGCGCGUGUAUGCGGCUUGGUAAGUCUGGUGUGAAAACUUGGGGCUGAACCCCAAGCCUGCAUCGGAUACUGCUUGGCUAGAGUCCGGGAGGGGAGAGCGGAAUUCCCAGUGUAAGGUGAAAUGCUCAGAUAUUGGGAAGAACACCGGUGGCGAAGGCGGCUCUCUGGAACGGUACUGACGCUGAAACGCGAAAGCGUGGGGAGCUAACAUGAUUAGAUACCCUGGUAGUCCACGCCGUAAACGAUGGGCACUAGAUGUGGGCGGUGUCGACUCCGUCCGUGUCGAAUCUAACGCAUUAUGUGCCCCGCCUGGGGAGUACGGCCGCACGGCUAAAACUCAAAGGAAUUGACGGGGGCCGGCACAAGCAGCGGAGCAUGUGGUUUAAUUCGACGCAACGCGAAGAACCUUACCCUGGGGCUUGACAUGUUGGGUGAAAAUCCUGGUAAACGGGAUCCCUCUUCGGA
rnacentral:rRNA from 1 species